GCCAGCCCGCUCAGAAACUUAAGGAAUUGACGGGGGCCCGCACAAGCGGUGGAGCAUGUGGUUUAAUUCGAUGAUACGCGAGGAACCUUACCUGGGCUCAAAUGUAUGUUGACGUAUUCUGAAAGGGAUACUUCUUCGGACAAUAUACAAGGUGCUGCAUGGUUGUCGUCAGCUCGUGCCGUGAGGUGUCGGGUUAAGUCCCACAACGAGCGCAACCCCUAUUGCCAGUUGCUACCAGGUAAUGCUGGGCACUCUGGUGAGACUGCCCCGGUUAACGGGGAGGAAGGUGGGGACGACGUCAAGUCAUCAUGGCCCUUACGCCUAGGGCUACACACGUACUACAAUGGCGCAUACAAAGGGCAGCGAUACCGCGAGGUGGAGCCAAUCCCAAAAAGUGCGUCCCAGUCCGGAUUGCAGUCUGCAACUCGACUGCAUGAAGUUGGAAUCGCUAGUAAUUCGAGAUCAGCAUGCUCGGGUGAAUGCGUUCCCGGGCCUU
rnacentral:rRNA from 1 species